rnacentral:rRNA from 1 species
GGGUCUAUAAUGCAAGUCGAGCGCGGGAAGCAAGCUGAUCCUCUUCGGAGGUGACGCUUGUGGAACGAGCGGCGGACGGGUGAGUAACACGUGGGCAACCUGCCUGUAAGACUGGGAUAACCCCGGGAAACCGGGGCUAAUACCGGAUAAUACUUUUCAUCACCUGAUGAGAAGUUGAAAGGUGGCUUUUAGCUACCACUUACAGAUGGGCCCGCGGCGCAUUAGCUAGUUGGUGAGGUAACGGCUCACCAAGGCAACGAUGCGUAGCCGACCUGAGAGGGUGAUCGGCCACACUGGGACUGAGACACGGCCCAGACUCCUACGGGAGGCAGCAGUAGGGAAUCUUCCGCAAUGGACGAAAGUCUGACGGAGCAACGCCGCGUGAGUGAUGAAGGUUUUCGGAUCGUAAAGCUCUGUUGUUAGGGAAGAACAAGUGCCGUUCGAAUAGGGCGGCACCUUGACGGUACCUAACCAGAAAGCCCCGGCUAACUACGUGCCAGCAGCCGCGGUAAUACGUAGGGGGCAAGCGUUGUCCGGAAUUAUUGGGCGUAAAGCGCGCGCAGGCGGUCCUUUAAGUCUGAUGUGAAAGCCCACGGCUCAACCGUGGAGGGUCAUUGGAAACUGGAGGACUUGAGUACAGAAGAGGAGAGUGGAAUUCCACGUGUAGCGGUGAAAUGCGUAGAGAUGUGGAGGAACACCAGUGGCGAAGGCGACUCUCUGGUCUGUAACUGACGCUGAGGCGCGAAAGCGUGGGGAGCGAACAGGAUUAGAUACCCUGGUAGUCCACGCCGUAAACGAUG